AUUGAACGCUGGCGGCAUGCCUUACACAUGCAAGUCGAACGGCAGCACGGGAGCAAUCCUGGUGGCGAGUGGCGAACGGGUGAGUAAUAUAUCGGAACGUGCCCAGUCGUGGGGGAUAACGUAGCGAAAGCUACGCUAAUACCGCAUACGAUCUACGGAUGAAAGCGGGGGAUCGCAAGACCUCGCGCGAUUGGAGCGGCCGAUAUCAGAUUAGCUAGUUGGUGGGGUAAAAGCUCACCAAGGCGACGAUCUGUAGCUGGUCUGAGAGGACGACCAGCCACACUGGAACUGAGACACGGUCCAGACUCCUACGGGAGGCAGCAGUGGGGAAUUUUGGACAAUGGGCGCAAGCCUGAUCCAGCAAUGCCGCGUGCAGGAUGAAGGCCUUCGGUUGUAAACUGCUUUGUACGGAACGAAACGGUGAGCUCUAAUAAAGACUUGCUAAUGACGGUACCGUAAGAAUAAGCACCGGCUAACU
rnacentral:rRNA from 1 species